ACCCAGCCCAUUGUAGUCUAGAAAGUAGUUCUUUAAAAUUAUGAAAUGGCCCAAUUUAAGUCAUCUCUAGUUAGAUUGUUCAUAAUUAAAGUGUAUUUAUUGCAUGUGUGUAGUUUUUGUGUGUUAUAUGAUGACUUUAAAAGUUGUUUUUUGUGUAUUCUCCAGGAACUCAUUUGUUGGUGGAAGGAUUAAAGAUGUACUACCCACCAGCUGUCAGGAGUUUUUAAAGUGGUGAAUUUAAACAGUGUUACAACAGAAUGAAGAUUUCUGAAAAAAGUAGAUGGCUAACCUAUUAUAUUUUGGGCAUCAUUUGACUUAGAUAGUGUUAAUGUUUAAAGUUGAAGACAGUAUAUAAUUCAUCAAGAACAUUGGAAUCCAGAAUUAAACCUCAAAUUUGACUGAUUUACUAUAGAACUAAUAGUACGAAAAUUCACCGGGCCGAGUCCAAGAUAAGAAAUGUCAAAAAUGGGAACUGGUUGAUGGAUAUGGAUGAAACUUUGCAUCAGUGUUGUGUUUAUGAAUAGAAGUCAGGAAAAUAAAGGAUUAUUGACAGACCAUGCAGUUGCCAAAGCCUGGGUUUGAGUAUAUGACCUUACCUUAUCCUGGUAAAGAUCUAUGGAAGGACUCCUUCAGCUCUGUUUGGCAGCAGCUUUGUCAGGACACAUUGAGAAGGAACUCAUUUGUUGGUGGAAGGAUUAAAGAUGUACUACCCACCAGCUGUCAGGAGUUUUUAAAGUGGUGAAUUUAAACAGUGUUACAACAGAAUGAAGAUUUCUGAAAAAAGUAGAUGGCUAACCUAUUAUAUUUUGGGCAUCAUUUGACUUAGAUAGUGUUAAUGUUUAAAGUUGAAGACAGUAUAUAAUUCAUCAAGAACAUUGGAAUCCAGAAUUAAACCUCAAAUUUGACUGAUUUACUAUAGAACUAAUAGUACGAAAAUUCACCGGGCCGAGUCCAAGAUAAGAAAUGUCAAAAAUGGGAACUGGUUGAUGGAUAUGGAUGAAACUUUGCAUCAGUGUUGUGUUUAUGAAUAGAAGUCAGGAAAAUAAAGGAUUACUGACAGACCAUGCAGUUGCCAAAGCCUGGGUUUGAGUAUAUGACCUUACCUUAUCCUGGUAAAGAUCUAUGGAAGGACUCCUUCAGCUCUGUUUGGCAGCAGCUUUGUCAGGACACAUUGAGAAGGAACUCAUUUGUUGGUGGAAGGAUUAAAGAUGUACUACCCACCAGCUGUCAGGAGUUUUUAAAGUGGUGAAUUUAAACAGUGUUACAACAGAAUGAAGAUUUCUGAAAAAAGUAGAUGGCUAACCUAUUAUAUUUUGGGCAUCAUUUGACUUAGAUAGUGUUAAUGUUUAAAGUUGAAGACAGUAUAUAAUUCAUCAAGAACAUUGGAAUCCAGAAUUAAACCUCAAAUUUGACUGAUUUACUAUAGAACUAAUAGUACGAAAAUUCACCGGGCCGAGUCCAAGAUAAGAAAUGUCAAAAAUGGGAACUGGUUGAUGGAUAUGGAUAAAACUUUGCAUCAGUGUUGUGUUUAUGAAUAGAAGUCAGGAAAAUAAAGGAUUAUUGACAGACCAUGCAGUUGCCAAAGCCUGGGUUUGAGUAUAUGACCUUACCUUAUCCUGGUAAAGAUCUAUGGAAGGACUCCUUCAGCUCUGUUUGGCAGCAGCUUUGUCAGGACACAUUGAGAAGGAACUCAUUUGUUGGUGGAAGGAUUAAAGAUGUACUACCCACCAGCUGUCAGGAGUUUUUAAAGUGGUGAAUUUAAACAGUGUUACAACAGAAUGAAGAUUUCUGAAAAAAGUAGAUGGCUAACCUAUUAUAUUUUGGGCAUCAUUUGACUUAGAUAGUGUUAAUGUUUAAAGUUGAAGACAGUAUAUAAUUCAUCAAGAACAUUGGAAUCCAGAAUUAAACCUCAAAUUUGACUGAUUUACUAUAGAACUAAUAGUACGAAAAUUCACCGGGCCGAGUCCAAGAUAAGAAAUGUCAAAAAUGGGAACUGGUUGAUGGAUAUGGAUGAAACUUUGCAUCAGUGUUGUGUUUAUGAAUAGAAGUCAGGAAAAUAAAGGAUUAUUGACAGGUUUGA